rnacentral:rRNA from 1 species
UACGUAGGGUGCGAGCGUUAAUCGGAAUACUGGGCGUAAAGCGUGCGCAGGCGGUGAUGUAAGACCGAUGUGAAAUCCCCGGGCUUAACCUGGGAACUGCAUUGGUGACUGCAUUGCUGGAGUAUGGCAGAGGGGGGUGGAAUUCCACGUGUAGCAGUGAAAUGCGUAGAGACUGUGGAGGAACACCGAUGGCGAAGGCAGCCCCCUGGGCCAAUACUGACGCCUCAUGCAC